ACUAUUUUGGCAGAUAAGUGUAAUAAAUUUAGAAUUUAUAUAUGUAAUAAUUUAAUUACAAAUAGUA
rnacentral:tRNA from 2 species